CACGUAGGCGGAUCGAUCAGUUAGGGGUGAAAUCCCAGGGCUCAACCCUGGAACUGCCUCUAAUACUGUCGAUCUCGAGUUCGAGAGAGGUGAGUGGAAUUCCGAGUGUAGAGGUGAAAUUCGUAGAUAUUAGGAGGAACACCAGUUGCGAAGGCGGCUCUCUGGACUGUAACUGACACUGAGGCACGAAAGCGUGGGAGCAAACA
rnacentral:rRNA from 1 species